GGGAGCUUAGCUCAGCUGGUUCAGAGCACCUGGUCUACACCCAGGGGGUCACAGGUUCGAAUCCUGUAGCUCCCACAA
rnacentral:tRNA from 3 species